AUUGAACGCUGGCGGCAGGCCUAACACAUGCAAGUCGAGCGGAGCGGCGGACGGGUGAGUAAUGCCUAGGAAUCUGCCUGGUAGUGGGGGAUAACGUCCGGAAACGGGCGCUAAUACUGAAUACUAUCAGCAGAGCCUAGGUGGGAUUAGCUAGUGGGUGGGGUAAAGGCCUACCAAGGCGACGAUCCGUAGCUGGUCUGAGAGGAUGAGCAGUCACACUGGAACUGAGACACGGUCCAGACUCCUACGGGAGGCAGCAGUGGGGAAUAUUGGACAAUGGGCGCAAGCCUGAUCCAGCCAUGCCGCGUGUAUGAAGAAGGUCUUCGGAUUGUAAAGCACUUUAAGUUGGGAGGCGUUACCAGCAGAAGAAGCACCGGCUAACUUCGUGCCAGCAGCCGCGGUAAUUC
rnacentral:rRNA from 1 species